GUGGGGAAUCUUCCGCAAUGGACGAAAGUCUGACGGAGCAACGCCGCGUGAGUGAAGAAGGUUUUCGGAUCGUAAAGCUCUUUCGUUAGGGACGAACGUGCUCUUUGUGAAUAAUGAGGAGUAAUGACGGUACCUAAAUAAGAAGCCACGGCUAACUACGUGCCAGCAGCCGCGGUAAUACGUAGGUGGCAAGCGUUGUCCGGAAUUAUUGGGCGUAAAGCGCGCGCAGGCGGGAUAUAAAGUCUGUCUUAAAAGUGCGAGGCUCAACCUCGUGAAGUGACAGAAACUGGUAUUCUUGAGUGUCGGAGAGUAAAGUAGAAUUCCAAGUGUAGCGGUGAAAUGCGUAGAGAUUUGGAAGAACACCAGGGGCGAAGGCGACUUUCUGGACGAUGUCUGACGCUGAGGCGCGAAAGCUAGGGGAGCGAACGGGAUUAGAAACCCUUGUAGUCC
rnacentral:rRNA from 1 species